rnacentral:rRNA from 1 species
GAUGAACGCUGACAGAAUGCUUAACACAUGCAAGUCAACUUGAACUUCGGUUUGGGUGGCGGACGGGUGAGUAGCGCGUAAAGAACUUGCCUCACAGAUAGGGACAACAUUUGGAAACGAAUGCUAAUACCUGAUAUUAUGAUUUUAGGGCAUCCUAGGAUUAUGAAAGCUAUAUGCACUGUGAGAGAGCUUUGCGUCCCAUUAGCUAGUUGGAGAGGUAACGGCUCACCAAGGCGAUGAUGGGUAGCCGGCCUGAGAGGGUGAUCGGCCACAAGGGGACUGAGACACGGCCCCUACUCCUACGGGAGGCAGCAGUGGGGAAUAUUGGACAAUGGACCAAGAGUCUGAUCCAGCAAUUCUGUGUGCACGAUGAAGUUUUUCGGAAUGUAAAGUGCUUUCAGUUGGGAAGAAAAGAAUGACGGUACCAACAGAAGAAGUGACGGCUAACUACGUGCCAGCAGCCGCGGUAAUACGUAGGGCGCGAGCGUUGUCCGGAAUUAUUGGGCGUAAAGGGCUCGUAGGCGGCUUGUCGCGUCUGCUGUGAAAACGCGGGGCUCAACUCCGCGCGUGCAGUGGGUACGGGCAGGCUGGAGUGCGGCAGGGGUGGCUGGAAUUCCUGGUGUAGCGGUAGAAUGCGCAGAUAUCAGGAAGAACACCGAUGGCGAGGGCAGGCCACUGGGCCGUCACUGACGCUGAGGAGCGAAAGCGUGGGGAGCGAACAGG